rnacentral:rRNA from 1 species
UAGUGAAUAUAGGACGUCCAACUUAACUUGGAGUCCGAACUCUCACUUUUUAACCCCGUGCACUUGUUUGGGAUAGUAACUCUCGCAAGAGAGCGAACUCCUAUUCACUUAUAAACACAAAGUCUAUGAAUGUAUUAAAUUUUAUAACAAAAUAAAACUUUCAACAACGGAUCUCUUGGCUCUCGCAUCGAUGAAGAACGCAGCGAAAUGCGAUAAGUAAUGUGAAUUGCAGAAUUCAGUGAAUCAUCGAAUCUUUGAACGCACCUUGCGCUCCAUGGUAUUCCGUGGAGCAUGCCUGUUUGAGUGUCAUGAAUACUUCAACCCUCCUCUUUCUUAAUGAUUGAAGAGGUGUUUGGUUUCUGAGCGCUGCUGGCCUUUACGGUCUAGCUCGUUCGUAAUGCAUUAGCAUCCGCAAUCGAACUUCGGAUUGACUUGGCGUAAUAGACUAUUCGCUGAGGAAUUCUAGUCUUCGGACUAGAGCCGGGUUGGGUUAAAGGAAGCUUCUAAUCAGAAUGUCUUCCUUUUAAGAUUAGAUCUCAAAUCAGGUAGGACUACCCGCUG